rnacentral:lncRNA from 1 species
AUGGGGAGACAUCGUUUGAGCCUUGAUCGAACCAUUCUUGAAGCUGCUACCUUGGUGCCUUUAAGUUUUAUGAACCAAUUAAUUCCCUUUUUGCUUAAACCAGUUCUUUCAUUCUUUGGGCUAUUUCCCCUAUCUCUGCUUCAAAUCAGUGUGCAGCAGGCUUCAGCACAUCAUUUUAACAAUGAUUUUUUCAGGAAAUUCCCAUCCGUGCUCAUAACUCAGCCUUUAAUUGGUGGAAAUUGCCGGUCCCAAAUGCUUAGAGCUGUGGUUUUCAAAAUGUGAGCCCCAGACCAACAGAACCAGCAAUUACUUGGAAACGGGUUAGAAAUGCACAUUCUCGGGCCACAUUCUAUACCUGCUGAAUCAGAAACUCUCGGGGUGGGCCCAGCAAUGUGUGGUUUAAGAAGUCUGCCAGGUGAUUCUGAUUCUCACUCGAGUGUGCGAAGCACCUGCUUGGAACUUUUGCUGGUUCAAAGGGUGCACAUAGAGGAUGAUCUGGCACUGCCUGGAUCUCCUUUAGCUGCAGACGGGCUGUUCCCCAGCAGCAGUGAAUGAGUAUUGGCUGCUAACGGCUUCCAGCUGUUCCUUCUGCCUGCCCUGAACCACCAUGCCCAGAUACGCCUGAGAGAUUAUGCACACAUCUGCCUUCCAUGGGCCAUGGCCAGUGCCUGAUGGACAUGGGGGUAUGCCAGGCUGGUCUCCUUGUCCAGUGGACCAGAGAGGGACGCUCCAGUGUGAAUUACUUUCUAGCCUCUCUGUGAAUUAGGCCAGAGCUAGACUUUAAAUGCUCCAAGUCACUGCUUCUUCCAAACACCUGUUUUUGGGACAGCAGGUAUGAGUUACUGUACAACACCCUGGUGGAAAAAAAAAUCACCUGGCUUUGCAAAAUUAAAAUAAGCGUACUUGAUUAUCCUCCUCUGCAGGCUGGUUUUAAAGUCAGCCAGGAGAGCCUCUGACAGUCAUCUGGGUUGCAGGUCCUGGUGACCAUCAGCUGUGAUUGGGUCAUUCUCCUCUUUGUGUCAGAGAAUCAGCCCUCCCACCCCUUGGCCCAGACCUCACAGGGACAAGUUUCAUGGUAGCCUAAGAAAUACAAAAAACUUGUCAACUGCUUUCCUCCCCGGACUGCCCUUCCUGAGAAGGGAGAAGGGGAAAAUAUUUACAUUUUGUUCUCAGUUAUCAAAGAGAAAGGCAAGAUGCCAGUCACUUUCCCAGUUAAUUUCUGAAGGGUAACAGAAAGUUUGGCGGGUGUGUUUGUGUGACUGUGUGUUUGCAUGUGUGGGUGUAUGUUGGGUGUUGGGGUGUGUUUGCAUGUUUGUGUGUGUUUGUGUGUCUGUGUGUGUGCAGAUGGAUGUAGAAGUGUGUUUGCAAGUGUGAGCUUGGGGCUUGGGUUCUGUGACAGCCACAGCAAUGGGACCAGAGCCCCAUCACUGCCCAGAAGGUGUCAGCCCCUCCCUCAGUGCCAGGCCUCACAGCUGACACAGCAUUCACCUGCCAUCUCUUGGAGCCCACUGCGGGCACAGAGGGUGGCCCUGAACAGGACAGUGGGAUAAACUGUCAGCUCCAACCACUUCCCUGCUUGGGCACUUCAGGGCUCUGAGGUUCUGCAGAAACAAUUUUCUGGGUAAUUAUGGCCCUAAAGGUACUCAGAAGUCUGGGAGGAAGGAGAAGUAAAAAUAUAAAAAAACCAGAUGGGAAUAUAGGAAAACAUUUACAGCAUUAACUUUUUGCCUGAGGGCUGUGAUUAACAGUGAUUUCUAUUUAUGUCUUUGUGUUUAUUUGCAUUUUUGAAAUUUUCUACAAUGAACAUGAAUUAUAUGUACAAUAAUUAAAAAUGAAACCAGAAGAAUAAUUGUAAACAUCCCACACCUACUCCUUGAGUGCCAGCUUUCCCUCCCACCCCCAACACCACAGGAAAUCUUUAACUUCCUUAACUUUGUGUUGUUACAACUUCCCAGCAUGGGAAAAGUAGAAAGACAGUACAACCAACACCUGUGUACCUAUAUACAAUGUACCCCACCACCGCAUAUAUUCAAAAUGGG